rnacentral:rRNA from 1 species
GUACACUCCUGCGGGAGGCAGCAGUGGGGAAUAUUGGACAAUGGGCGCAAGCCUGAUCCAGCCAUGCCGCGUGAGUGAUGAAGGCCCUAGGGUUGUAAAGCUCUUUCACCGGUGAAGAUAAUGACGGUAACCGGAGAAGAAGCCCCGGCUAACUUCGUGCCAGCAGCCGCGGUAAUACGAAGGGGGCUAGCGUUGUUCGGAUUUACUGGGCGUAAAGCGCACGUAGGCGGACUAUUAAGUCAGGGGUGAAAUCCCGGGGCUCAACCCCGGAACUGCCUUUGAUACUGGUAGUCUUGAGUUCGAGAGAGGUGAGUGGAAUUCCGAGUGUAGAGGUGAAAUUCGUAGAUAUUCGGAGGAACACCAGUGGCGAAGGCGGCUCACUGGCUCGAUACUGACGCUGAGGUGCGAAAGCGUGGGGAGCAAACAGGAUUAGAAACCCCGGUAGUCCCAUG